AGUUUGAUCCUGGCUCAGAUUGAACGCUGGCGGCAGGCCUAACACAUGCAAGUCGAGCGGUAGAGAGAAGCUUGCUUCUCUUGAGAGCGGCGGACGGGUGAGUAAUGCCUAGGAAUCUGCCUGGUAGUGGGGGAUAACGUUCGGAAACGGACGCUAAUACCGCAUACGUCCUACGGGAGAAAGCAGGGGACCUUCGGGCCUUGCGCUAUCAGAUGAGCCUAGGUCGGAUUAGCUAGUUGGUGAGGUAAUGGCUCACCAAGGCGACGAUCCGUAACUGGUCUGAGAGGACGAUCAGUCACACUGGAACUGAGACACGGUCCAGACUCCUACGGGAGGCAGCAGUGGGGAAUAUUGGACAAUGGGCGAAAGCCUGAUCCAGCCAUGCCGCGUGUGAAGAAGGUCUUCGGAUUGUAAAGCACUUUAAGUUGGGAGGAAGGGUUGUAGAUUAAUACUCUGCAAUUUUGACGUUACCGACAGAAUAAGCACCGGCUAACUCUGUGCCAGCAGCCGCGGUAAUACAGAGGGUGCAAGCGUUAAUCGGAAUUACUGGGCGUAAAGCGCGCGUAGGUGGUUUGUUAAGUUGGAUGUGAAAUCCCCGGGCUCAACCUGGGAACUGCAUUCAAAACUGACUGACUAGAGUAUGGUAGAGGGUGGUGGAAUUUCCUGUGUAGCGGUGAAAUGCGUAGAUAUAGGAAGGAACACCAGUGGCGAAGGCGACCACCUGGACUAAUACUGACACUGAGGUGCGAAAGCGUGGGGAGCAAACAGGAUUAGAUACCCUGGUAGUCCACGCCGUAAACGAUGUCAACUAGCCGUUGGAAGCCUUGAGCUUUUAGUGGCGCAGCUAACGCAUUAAGUUGACCGCCUGGGGAGUACGGCCGCAAGGUUAAAACUCAAAUGAAUUGACGGGGGCCCGCACAAGCGGUGGAGCAUGUGGUUUAAUUCGAAGCAACGCGAAGAACCUUACCAGGCCUUGACAUCCAAUGAACUUUCUAGAGAUAGAUUGGUGCCUUCGGGAACAUUGAGACAGGUGCUGCAUGGCUGUCGUCAGCUCGUG
rnacentral:rRNA from 1 species